rnacentral:lncRNA from 1 species
ACCUUCCUUUUAUGGUCAUAAACCUUGUGUUUAAAUUUCAUAGAUUUCUAUUUACUUAUACUAACGUUAUGGUGCGAAAACCAAGAAAAAUGCUUAUUUGGGUCCCUUUUUGGCCCCUAAUUCCUAAACUGUUGGGACCUAAACUCCCAAAAUCAAUACCAACCUUCCUUUUGUAGUCAUUAACAUUGUGUUUAAAUUUCAUUGAUUUCUAUUUACU